GGACGAACGCUGGCGGCGUGCCUAACACAUGCAAGUCGAACGGGGGUUACGAGAGCUUGCUCUUGUAACUUAGUGGCGGACUGGUGAGUAACACGUAAGCAACCUGCCUAUCAGAGGGGAACAACAGUUAGAAAUGACUGCUAAUACCGCAUAUGCCUAAGCAUCACAUGGUGCAAUAGGGAAAGGAGCAAUCCGCUGAUAGAUGGGCUUGCGUCUGAUUAGAUAGUUGGUGGGGUAACGGCCUACCAAGUCGACGAUCAGUAGCCGGACUGAGAGGUUGAACGGCCACAUUGGGACUGAGAUACGGCCCAGACUCCUACGGGAGGCAGCAGUCGGGAAUAUUGCGCAAUGGAGGAAACUCUGACGCAGUGACGCCGCGUGCAGGAAGAAGGUUUUCGGAUUGUAAACUGCUUUAGACAGGGAAGAACAAAGACAAUACCUGUAGAAUAAGCUCCGGCUAACUACGUG
rnacentral:rRNA from 1 species